UACGGAGGGUGCAAGCGUUAAUCGGAAUUACUGGGCGUAAAGCGCACGCAGGCGGUUGGAUAAGUUAGAUGUGAAAGCCCCGGGCUCAACCUGGGAAUUGCAUUUAAAACUGUCCAGCUAGAGUCUUGUAGAGGGGGGUAGAAUUCCAGGUGUAGCGGUGAAAUGCGUAGAGAUCUGGAGGAAUACCGGUGGCGAAGGCGGCUCACUGGGCUCUACCUGACGCUGAGGCGCGAAAGCGUGGGGAGCGAACCGG
rnacentral:rRNA from 1 species